UAGCGCUUGGCUUUUUUCACUCUAG
rnacentral:piRNA from 1 species